rnacentral:rRNA from 1 species
AUUGAACGCUGGCGGCAUGCUUUACACAUGCAAGUCGAACGGCAGCGCGGGCUUCGGCCUGGCGGCGAGUGGCGAACGGGUGUGUAAUACAUCGGAACGUGCCCAGUAGUGGGGGAUAGCUCGGCGAAAGCCGGAUUAAUACCGCAUACGACCUGAGGGUGAAAGCGGGGGAUCUUCGGACCUCGCGCUAUUGGAGCGGCCGAUGGCAGAUUAGCUAGUUGGUGGGGUAAAGGCCUACCAAGGCGACGAUCUGUAGCUGGUCUGAGAGGACGACCAGCCACACUGGGACUGAGACACGGCCCAGACUCCUACGGGAGGCAGCAGUGGGGAAUUUUGGACAAUGGGCGAAAGCCUGAUCCAGCAAUGCCGCGUGUGUGAUGAAGGCCUUCGGGUUGUAAAGCACUUUUGGCGGGAACGAAAAGGACUGUGCCAAUACCACGGUUCGAUGACGGUACCCGCAGAAUAAGCACCGGCUAACUACGUG